rnacentral:rRNA from 1 species
UGCGUAGGCGGCCUGUUAAGUCAGUGGUGAAAGGUAUCAGCUUAACUGAUGAUGUGCCAUUGAAACUAACAGGCUUGAGUACAGACGAGGUAGGCGGAAUUUAUGGUGUAGCGGUGAAAUGCAUAGAUACCAUAAAGAACACCGAUAGCGAAGGCAGCUUACUAGGCUGUUACUGACGCUGAGGCACGAAAGCGUGGGGAGCGAACAGGAUUAGAUACCCUGGUAGUCC